rnacentral:rRNA from 1 species
UACAGAGGUCCCAAGCGUUGUUCGGAUUCACUGGGCGUAAAGGGUGCGUAGGUGGUGAGGUAAGUCGGAUGUGAAAUCUCCGAGCUCAACUCGGAAACUGCAUUGGAAACUACCUUGCUCGAGGGUUGGAGGGGGGACUGGAAUGCUUGGUGUAGCAGUGAAAUGCGUAGAUAUCAAGCGGAACACCAGUGGCGAAAGCGAGUCUCUGGGCAGCAUCUGGCACUGGAGGCACGAAGGCCAGGGGAGCAAAGCGGG